UGACGGGGACGGCCCCGUCACUCUCCUGGGGUACUGGGGACAGCCCUG
rnacentral:ncRNA from 1 species